GAUGAACGCUGGCGGCGUGCCUAAUACAUGCAAGUCGAGCGAACAGACGAGGAGCUUGCUCCUCUGACGUUAGCGGCGGACGUGUGAGUAACACGUGGAUAACCUACCUAUAAGACUGGGAUAACUUCGGGAAACCGGAGCUAAUACCGGAUAAUAUAUUGAACCGCAUGGUUCAAUAGUGAAAGACGGUUUUGCUGUCACUUAUAGAUGGAUCCGCGCCGCAUUAGCUAGUUGGUAGGGUAACGGCUUACCAAGGCAACGAUGCGUAGCCGACCUGAGAGGGUGAUCGGCCACACUGGAACUGAGACACGGUCCAGACUCCUACGGGAGGCAGCAGUAGGGAAUCUUCCGCAAUGGGCGAAAGCCUGACGGAGCAACGCCGCGUGAGUGAUGAAGGUCUUCGGAUCGUAAAACUCUGUUAUUAGGGAAGAACAAAUGUGUAAGUAACUAUGCACGUCUUGACGGUACCUAAUCAGAAAGCCACGGCUAACUACGUG
rnacentral:rRNA from 1 species